rnacentral:sRNA from 1 species
AGCCUCUCAACGCACUGGAAUUACAGAUGUGAGCCACCACACUAGGCCUACAAGUGGUCCUUACACCAGAUUAAUUUAUCUUGAAAUGGCGGGCAACUGAAUUGCACACCUCAAUCUAUGAUUUGACUUUUAAAGAAUUAAUUAUAUUGACUGAGAGAGAGGCCCAGGAGAGAAAGAAGAAAGAAAAGGAGCCAGGGAUGGCUCUUCCUCAGGGAUCUUUGACAUUCAGGGAUGUAGCCAUAGAAUUCUCUCAGGAGGAGUGGAAAUGCCUGGACCCUGUUCAGAAAGCUUUGUACAGGGACGUGAUGUUGGAGAACUACAGGAACCUCGGCUUCCUGGGUGAGGAUAAUUUUCCUCCAGAAGUUAGGAUCUUCCCUUGUGCAUUUUUG